CUCAAACCCUCUCCAAUUAAUCCUCCAUCAAUCUCGAUCCAAACCAAGAGCAAAUCUAUCAACUUUAACAUGAAGAACAACAUGACAACUACGGAAUUGUGAUUUUUUCGCUAAUUUUCUUCUUGGAUAAGGACUUCACCUUGAAGUAACUUGGAGUUUGGAGUGAUUUUGAUCAUCUAAGGAAAUCAUUCGUAAGACGUUCGAGGACUCGGGGAAAUGUAUAUAACUCCAUCGACGAGGUACGGUAGACGGAUUGUUGUACCUUUUCCAGUAGGAUACCAAAGUUCAACAAGGAUGUUCGCACUUCAUUCUCCGGAGUUGUUGGUCAGAGUCAUUAAACAGGAUACAUGCAUAUAUAUAUAGAGAGUAUGGCUAUGGGUACGUCGGGGCCACUGUCCCGACCAGUUGAUGCAUAUUAGUGCUCUUAGAGGCUUAUAGACUAUCAGUCAGUGUACAGGUAUUGCGUUUGGCCUUGCCGGCCUUCUGACUAGUUGUCUUUCUUGGUUGUGACCUUGUUGGCCCUUGUAAUGCAUAUAUGUGUUGCUGGGCCUUUUCUAUUUGCAGGUUGUUAUGAUAUACUUCUUACUGUUGUUAUUCAGCGGCCUCGUCGGCCUAUGAUUCACGUUACAUAGUUUAGAUAUCACAGUUGGUUCGCUCGGCUUUUCGGGUGCCGGGUGCCAGCCACACCCCUAACGUUGGGGUGUGACAGCUUGCUUAGCCUGGGCUACUGUUUUGUCGUCCAUUUCACCUUGACAAGCCUGGAAGAUUUGUGUGUGUGUGUGUGUUUUUUUUUUUUUUUUUUUUUUUUGGAACUGAAAGCAUUGGAACUUUUGUUUAUAAUUUCUCUUGCUUACCCAAUUUCAGGCAAAUUGUAUACAAAUGGGAAGAGAGGAAAUGCAUCUUAUAUACCUGUUCCAUCACCUAUAAUAAAGUAACUACAUGAAUUAACAUUAACGUCAUUUAUGCGGUCAAUGCAAAAUGAAAAUUAGGACCCCAAUUAUCUCACUAGCGAUUCCUCAUCGGCCAGGCUCCAUAAGGAAUAAUUAGUGAGACAAAUAAGGUUUGAAUCUUUAUUUUGCAUUGGCUAUAGAAACGACGUUAAUGAUCCCAUAUGGUCACUUCAUUAUAGGUGAACAAUUAGUGACGAAUUUUGUGUGGUAACUAAUAAAUUUUUAGCCAAAUGUUGUAGUGACCCCUUGAGAUAAAUCAAGAUUCUUAUCAUGCAUGAAUCUUGUUCAACUAUCCAUGCCGGACCUCGUAUGCAACACUUGUAAAAAGAUGCAUGGUGAUCAAUCAGUUCAUGGAUUUUUUGUAAAAAUAAAUAAAUACGGGGAGACAUUUUCUCCUUUUCGUCGUUCUAUCUAAACUAGGCCCUUUU